CGGGGUCACAAUUUGCAGGAGGUAGAAAUAAACGAACGCCUGUAAAGUUGAAAGCAGACGACCCUUUAUUGCUAAAACACACACAUAUUUAUAAUCAUAUAUUCUGCAAAG